rnacentral:rRNA from 1 species
CCUACGGGUGGCAGCAGUCGGGAAUAUUGCGCAAUGGAGGAAACUCUGACGCAGUGACGCCGCGUGCAGGAAGAAGGUUUUCGGAUUGUAAACUUCCUUUUACAGGGAAGAAAAAAGACAGUACCUGUCGUAUAUGCUCCGGCUAACUACGUGCCAGCAGCCGCGGUAAUACGUAGGGAGCAAGCGUUAUCCGGAUUUAUUGGGUGUAAAGGGUGCGUAGACGGGGAAGCAAGUUAGUUGUGAAAUCCCUGGGCUUAACCGAGGAACUGCAACUAAAACUAUUUCCCUUGAGUACUGGAGAGGAAAGUGGAAUUCCGAGUGUAGCGGUGAAAUGCGUAGAUAUUAGGAGGAACACCAGUGGCGAAGGCGACUUUCUGGACAGUAACUGACGUUGAGGCACGAAAGUGUGGGGAGCAAACAGGAUUAGAUACCCCUGUAGUC